rnacentral:rRNA from 1 species
AACGAACGCUGGCGGCAUGCCUAACACAUGCAAGUCGAACGAGACCUUCGGGUCUAGUGGCGCACGGGUGCGUAACGCGUGGGAACCUGCCCUUAGGUUCGGAAUAACUCCCCGAAAGGGGUGCUAAUACCGGAUAAUGUCUUCGGCCCAAAGAUUUAUCGCCUUUGGAUGGGCCCGCGUUGGAUUAGCUAGUUGGUAGGGUAAAAGCCUACCAAGGCGACGAUCCAUAGCUGGUCUGAGAGGAUGAUCAGCCACACUGGGACUGAGACACGGUCCAGACUCCUACGGGAGGCAGCAGUGGGGAAUAGUGGACAAUGGGCGAAAGCCUGAUCCAGCAAGGCCGCGUGAGUGAUGAAGGCCUUAGGGUUGUAAAGCUCUUUUACCCGGGAUGAUAAUGACAGUACCGGGAGAAUAAGCUCCGGCUAACUCCGUG